rnacentral:rRNA from 1 species
UACGUAGGGUGCGAGCGUUAAUCGGAAUUACUGGGCGUAAAGCGUGCGCAGGCGGUUCGUGAUGUCUGGUGUGAAAGCCCCGGGCUUAACCUGGGAAUUGCAUUGGAAACUAGCGGGCUGGAGUGUGGCAGAGGGGGGUGGAAUUCCGCGUGUAGCAGUGAAAUGCGUAGAGAUGCGGAGGAACACCGAUGGCGAAGGCAGCCCCCUGGGUCGACACUGACGCUCAGGCACGAAAGCGUGGGGAGCAAACAGG